UGGGCAGUAGCUCUGCGGUAGAGAACUUGCCUUACAAGCACAAAAUCCUGGGUUCAAACCCCAGCAAUGCAA
rnacentral:tRNA from 1 species